rnacentral:lncRNA from 1 species
UAGUAAUGAAAGGAAGAAGGAGAGAAAGUCCGUUGGGAGCCAGGUAACAGUCUUUUUCCCAGAUCCUCAGCCAGGCUGCCUGGUGACAACAUUCCGAGAUUGCCAGGCAACUGACUUCAUCCUCCUUCUAUCUCUGGUCUCACUUUCCUCCCUAAGUUUUCUUCUUCUCUUCAUGUUUCUGCUCUUACCUCCUUCUCAGGUUCUGCUAGCCCUUUGGGAUAUCAGGCCUUCAGAAGUAGCUCAGUCUGCCUCUGUUUCUGUGUCUAAGUCUGGGCCACCCAUGCCUGGCUCCAUCUGAGAAGGACUGCAACUGGCCCUCUGUCUUGAGCACCCUUGGUCGUGAGCACCCUCAAGACCCAGACCUCUCCCCGACCAAGAAGAAAGGCUAUAUGAGGACACAGCAAGAAGGUGGCUGCCCACCAGCCAGGAAGAGAGCCCUCACCAGGAACUGAAUCUACU